GACGAACGCUGACGGUGUGCUUUAGACAUGCAAGUCGAACGAGAAAGCCCUUCGGGGUUAGUAAAGUGGCGAACGGGUGAGUAACACGUGGGCAAUCUGCCCCUCGCAGGGGGACAACCGGAGGAAACUCCGGCUAAUACCCCGUAAGUUCAAAGGGAGGCAUCUCUCUUCGAAGAAAGGUAGCUUCGGCCAUCCGGCGAGGGAUGAGCCCGCGGUGCAUUAGCUAGUUGGUGGGGUAACGGCCUACCAAGGCGACGAUGCAUAGCUGGUCUGAGAGGAUGAUCAGCCACACUGGGACUGAGACACGGCCCAGACUCCUACGGGAGGCAGCAGUCGGGAAUCUUGCGCAAUGGGCGAAAGCCUGACGCAGCAACACCGUGUGUGUGAGGAAGGCC
rnacentral:rRNA from 1 species